AUGAACGCUGGCGGCGUGCCUAAUACAUGCAAGUAGAACGCUGAAGGAAGGAGCUUGCUCUUUCCGGAUGAGUUGCGAACGGGUGAGUAACGCGUAGGUAACCUGCCUGGUAGCGGGGGAUAACUAUUGGAAACGAUAGCUAAUACCGCAUAACAGUAGAUGUUGCAUGAUAUCUACUUAAAAGGUGCAAUUGCACCACUACCAGAUGGACCUGCGUUGUAUUAGCUAGUUGGUGAGGUAACGGCUCACCAAGGCGACGAUACAUAGCCGACCUGAGAGGGUGAUCGGCCACACUGGGACUGAGACACGGCCCAGACUCCUACGGGAGGCAGCAGUAGGGAAUCUUCGGCAAUGGACGGAAGUCUGACCGAGCAACGCCGCGUGAGUGAAGAAGGUUUUCGGAUCGUAAAGCUCUGUUGUAAGAGAAGAACGAGUGUGAGAGUGGAAAGUUCACACUGUGACGGUAUCUUACCAGAAAGGGACGGCUAACUACGUG
rnacentral:rRNA from 1 species